rnacentral:lncRNA from 1 species
CUCUGGCAACCAGCCCCUAAGAGUUACACCAUUUUGUUUUUGUGCCACUCAGAUAUUAGCUCAAAGGCAAGAAUGAUAUACUCCCAGUUCUUUCCCGUGGUUUUAGAACAGAACUGUCUCUAGAUGCUAGCAUGGCCCUACUGGGGUUGCCUGAAGGAACCCAACAGUUUAGAAAGAACAAGUCAGCAACCACUCCACUAGUGUCACCGAGAGGCCAGGAAUGUCCUCUGCCAGAGGGUCAAAGACAGGGGUGGCGGCAUGUCUGGCUAAAACUGGCCUUCAGAAAAAACAGCGCUGACUGCUGGGCAAAAAGUGGGCAACUCGAUACAUUAUACUGUGUGUUAAAUUCCAAGGCCAAGCAUAUACCCCCAUGUCUAUCAUAUCAACAAAAAAGAUCUCUCAGAGUGCUUGCUUUCUUUUAAAUGCCAUGUUUUGGCCGGGCACAGUGACUUACACCUGUAAUCCCAGCACUUUGGGAAACCAAGCCAGUACGAUCACUUGAGCCCAGCCUGGGCAACAUAGUUAGACUCUAUAGGAUCACUUGAGCCCAGCCUGGGCAACACAGUCAGACCCUAUCUCUCUCUCUCUAUAUAUAUAUAUAUAUACAUACAUAUAGUUUUUUUCUUUUUUUUUUUUUUUUUUUUUGAUACAGGGUCUCGCUCUGUUGCCCAGGCUGGAGUGCAGUGGUGUGAUCUCAGCUCACUACAGCCUCCACUUCCUGGGCUCAAGCCAUCCUCCCACCUCAGCCUCCCACAUAGCUGGGACCACAGGCACACAGCACCACACCCAGCCAAGUUUUGUAUUUUUUGUAGAGAUGGUGUUUUGCCAUGUUACCCAGACUGGUCUCAAACUCCUGAGCUCAAGUGAUCUGCCUAGCUUGGCCUCCCAAAAUGCUGGGAUUACAGGCGUGAGCCACCUCGCCCAGCCCAUCUCUGUUAUUUAAAAAAUAAAAAUAAAAAAAUAGCUGGGCACAGUGGCUCAUGCCUAUAGUCCCAGGCCAGGGUGGCUGGCCUGUUAUCCCAGCACUUUGGGAGCUCAAGGCAGGCGGAUCACCUGAGGUCAGGAGAUUUGAGACCAGCCUGGCCAACAUGGUGAAACCUCGUCUCUACUAAAAAUACAAAAAUGAGCCGGGCGUGGUGGUAGGCACCUGUAAUCCCAGCUACUCAGGAGGCUGAGGCAGGAGAAUCACUUGAACCUGGGAGGCAGAGGCUGCGUGAGACAAGAUCGCGCCACUGCACUCCAGCCUGGGCGGCAGAGUGAGACUGUGUCUCAAAAAAAAGCCAUGUUUUAGCAACAGGGUAUCUGACAAAACUUGUCUCUGCUUUCUCGGGAUCUGAUUUUAGCCUGUUUGUGGGACUUUCCAAAGUAUUCCAAACAUCAGGAACACACCCUGACAGAGAGAGGGGAGGACUCCUCAGAACAGAGUGUGGACCCAGCAGCACUGUCCAGCUGCCCUUGGCCCUGUGGUUUCUCUUUGGCCCAGGGCCCUAUCCUCAAUGACUGUGUGACAACCUCUCAGUCUCUGUGUGGAGAAAAGUGCUUGUGGUUUAG